GUGCUCGCUUCGGCAGCACGUAUACUAAAUCGGAACAAUACACGGAAGAUUAGCAUGGCUCCUGCGCAAGGAUCACACACAGACUGAGUCCCUGCGUCCUGCCUUU
ensembl:snRNA U6 U6 spliceosomal RNA